rnacentral:rRNA from 1 species
UUUACUGUACCUUAGUUUGCUUCGGCGGGCCCGCCAUUCUGUGGCCGCCGGGGGCUCUCAGCCCCGGGCCCGCGCCCGCCGGAGACACCACGAACUCUGUCUGAUCUAGUGAAGUCUGAGUUGAUUGUAUCGCAAUCAGUUAAAACUUUCAACAAUGGAUCUCUUGGUUCCGGCAUCGAUGAAGAACGCAGCGAAAUGCGAUAACUAGUGUGAAUUGCAGAAUUCCGUGAAUCAUCGAGUCUUUGAACGCACAUUGCGCCCCCUGGUAUUCCGGGGGGCAUGCCUGUCCGAGCGUCAUUGCUGCCCAUCAAGCACGGCUUGUGUGUUGGGUCGUCGUCCCCUCUCCGGGGGGGACGGGCCCCAAAGGCAGUGGCGGCACCGCGUCCGAUCCUCGAGCGUAUGGGGCUUUGUCACCCGCUCUGUAGGCCCGGCCGGCGCUUGCCGAACGCAAAUCAAUCUUUUUCCAGGUUGACCUCGGAUCAGGUAGGGAUACCCGCUGAACUUAAGCAUAUCAAU